rnacentral:rRNA from 1 species
AGAGGCCCGCCGCGGUAACGACGGGUAACGGGGAAUCAGGGUUCGAUUCCGGAGAGGGAGCCCGAGAAACGGCUACCACUUCCAAGGAAGGCAGCAGGCGCGCAACUUACCCUAAUCUCGAUUCGAGGAGGUAGUGACAAGAAAUACCGAUGCGGGGACCCUACGGGUGCCGCGUUCGGAAUGAGUACGAUUCGAACCACCUAACGAGGAACGAUCGGAGGGCAAGUCUGGUGCCAGCAGCCGCGGUAAUUCCAGCUCCAAUAGCGUACGUUAAAGUUGCUGCAGUUAAAAAGCUCGUAGUUGAACGUUCGGGUUCCGCGGGACGGGGCCGCCCCGCGAGGGACGGCGCCGCCCCGGGGCUCGUGAUAUCUUAUCUCGCCGCCCGUCGCGAGGCGGACGGAGGGAUGGAUGAGGUUACCUGGAAAAAAAUCGGGGCG